AACGAACGCUGGCGGCAUGCCUAACACAUGCAAGUCGAACGAGACCUUCGGGUCUAGUGGCGCACGGGUGCGUAACGCGUGGGAACCUGCCCUUAGGUUCGGAAUAACUCCCCGAAAGGGGUGCUAAUACCGGAUAAUGUCUUCGGACCAAAGAUUUAUCGCCUUUGGAUGGGCCCGCGUUGGAUUAGCUAGUUGGUAAGGUAAAAGCCUACCAAGGCGACGAUCCAUAGCUGGUCUGAGAGGGUGAUCAGCCACACUGGGACUGAGACACGGCCCAGACUACUAGGGGAGGCAGCAGUAGGGAAUCGUCCGCGAUGGGCGAAAGCGGGACGGAGCAACGCCGCGUGAGGGAUGAAGGUCUUCGGAUCGUAAAAUUCUGUUAUUAGGGAAGAAAAAAUGUGUAAGGAACUAUGCACGUCUUGACGGUACCUAAUCAGAAAGCCACGGCUAACUACGUG
rnacentral:rRNA from 1 species